rnacentral:lncRNA from 1 species
UUGCUUAUAGUUUUUUGGGAAGAUAGUUCUGUCUCUGAUUGGCAGCCAUGACAGCUAAAUGCAGGCCUCCUUGUUAAAAAGGCAAGCAACAGAGGUUAGUUGGCUGCUUUUCUUCAGCUGUGCUUUAUAAGCUUAUUAGGUGCAUCUGGCUAGCUGUGUCUGGAAGGCAGAGUGCUGAAAUACAGAUCUUGAUCUGACCCAGUAUAGAUCUGUGCUGCUGUUAAGAGAGCUCAUCUCUGAUACUGUACAAACUCAUGAGCCCUUCCAAGCAGAUGGCUGGUGUGACACCAUCAAUAACCGAGCCUAUUGUCAGUAUGAUGGAGGUGACUGCUGCUCUUCCACAGUCUCUUCCAGGAAGGUGGUCCUUUUUCCCAACGGCUGUGAUCAGGAUGAGUGCACCUGCCGGGACCCAGCAGCAGAAGAGAAUCAUUAACAGCAGUCGGAACAAGAGGAAAAUUCAAGGGCGUGUGCAGGAGCAUGAACCAGUGAACUGGAAGGACUGA